GCAUUUCAAACCGCCGCUGCCGGCGCUCGUCGCCUCGCCGCGGCGUCGUCACUGUUCCGGCUCGUCGCCGCGCGCGCGCGCGGCCGCGCGGGGCUCUCCCUUGCUCUGCCACUCUACUGCCAUGGGCGACCGCUUCCUCUUUUAUCCCCUUGUGUCCUCCUGCAUGGCCUGGCCUGGACUGGACCUGAGAGUUGCUGGUGGCGCCGCCGGCACGGCGCCUCCUACGUGUUCGACGGAAUGCCCAAGCCGUUUCACCCCUGCUGGUGCUGCAUCUACCUGAUCCAUCGUACCAUUAAUUAGCCCGGUCAGUGGGAAGUGGGAACGGUAAAAGAGCACCUGCGCUGUUUAAAGGUUUGGAGGUUUGGGAAUGGAGCUUGCCGAUGUAGCUGGUGAAGAAGAAGCUAAAAGCCAAGGUGAUGGAUUGUGGUCUAAUUACCUAGACAUCGAGCAUGUGAAAACUGUAUCCCCUGAGACAUAAAACAGAUGUGCCAGGGAAUGCCAUCUGAUAGCUGGCAUGGUGAAAACAUGAAGCAUCCGAUACUUGGAAACGGUUUGUCCCUUACUUCUACUCUUUUACAUGUAUAUGUAGCAUGCUCAUUCUGUUAAGAGUAUUGAGGGUAUUAUAGACAUUUCUACUUCUCUUGUACAUAUUUAUAUGCUCUUUGAGCUAAGUCAAUUGCAAUAGUUGAAAUCCCCAAUUUCUAUCUUCUCUCCAAAAGUGACAUGGUAUCAGAGCAAGGGAGCAAACCCUAGCCGUCGAUCCAAGUCCACGCCGGCACGCCGGCGGCGGCUCGCCGCCGGCAAGCCCAACUAACCCGUCCACAUCCUCAUUGAGUAGUAGUAAGUGCAACAGCACCGUUGUCAGCUCAGUUUCGUCCCCAAUCAGCAAAGGUUCUAGCAGCAGCACCACUUCCUCGUUCUCCUGUCAUCAAGUCCAUCGACAGCCCAUCGCGGCGGAAGUCGCGGUCAUCGCCGCCGGUCGCGCGCCAUCCGUGCCGCCCAGAUCUGGGCCGCCGCCCGCCGCAUCAAAGGCAGUCGUCAUCACUGAUUGUUGCUUUCUCCUCUUCAAGCGGCAGCAGCAGCGAGCCUGUCGUUCUCCAGUUCAUCUCCAAUGAGCAAACAAACAGGAGCAGCAAUCAGCCAAUCAGUGCCCCCGUCGUGGGUGCUCGUCCUCCGCCGGCCAGGCCCUCGUCGUCCAUUGCGGCAAGCCGCUGCCGUCCACCCAUCGAGCCGGCCAGCCGCCGAUGCUCAUCGUCAUCAUCUUCUCAUCGUCCCAGGCUAUUCCUGAACUUCAGAUCCACAUCAACCCCUCUCUCCGUCUUUGUUUUUCUGUUGCGUGUAUGCUCAUGGUCAAGUAGCAACAGGAUAGAUAGGAGCAGAUUUGAGGCUCUUGGACUCUUUGGUUAUGCAGCUGGGUUACAGCUAAUUAGUGAUUGAAGAAUGGGUUCCUGCUACUGUCAUUGUUCUUUUUGCAGCCACUACUAUCGAUAAGCCUUCAAAUCAAUUUCAUGUCUUGGUCAUCAAUUUACUAUAUUUCAUAUCAAGUCCAUCCAAGUCCAAUACUCCAAUGCAUAUCCUUUAAUUUGUUGAAUUUGCACCAGUUCAUCUCUUUUGCUACUACUUAGUGUCUGCUACUAUCAUUGAGUCAAAUUUCUCUACAAUUUAUCGAGUCAAUCCAAAUCCAUUGCUUACCCUCAAUUCGUCAAAGUCAUGCCAAUUCAUCUCUUCAUUGUCUUUUCUACAUCACCAACUCGCUGUCAGAGUUGGCUUUAAUCAUCACCAGUUCCCCGUCGGAGCUGGCCUUCAUUGUCACUUCAUCAUCUCCAUGUCGGAGCUUGUCAACAUGAUCAUCAUCACUCAGUGAAGGUCCGAAGAACAGUUUGUGAAGGGCCUUCAUCAACAUCAAUGUCUCAUCAUCAGUCAAAGGACCGAAGAACAGUUUGUGAAGGUCCAUUGUCAUCAUCAUCAUCAUCAUCAACAUCUCCGAAUCAAUGAAGAGCCGAAGAACAGUUUGUGAAGGCUCCAAGGUCCAGUUCAUUGAGAAGGGGAUACAUCUUUUCUUCUUCAUCAUCCUAGAAUUGGCACACUUCGACGACAUCAUCAAGGCUUUGGAGAUAGGCUAAUAUUUGGAUUGUGUUCUAGUGUUUAGUUUACCUUUCAAAUGCAAUGUUAUUGCAUACACAUUGCAUUUGAGUGGGGGUGUUAAGAGUAUUGAGGGUAUUAUAGACAUUUCUACUUCUCUUGUACAUAUUUAUAUGCUCUUUGAGCUAAGUCAAUUGCAAUAGUUGAAAUCCCCAA